UGGAUGCCUUGGCAGCUAGAGGCGAUGAAGGACGUGGUAGGCCACGAAAGUCUUCGGGGAGCAGUCAAACAUGCUUUGAUCCGGAGGUGUCCGAAUGGGGAAACCCAACCAGCUUGCUGGUUAUCGUUAACUGAAUUCAUAGGUUAACGAGGCAAACGCGGAGAACUGAAACAUCUAAGUACCCCGAGGAACAGAAAUCAACCGAGAUUCCCUUAGUAGCGGCGAGCGAACGGGGAGUAGCCGAUGAUGAAGGUAGUAGUGGAACACUCUGGAAAGUGUGGCCAUAGUGGGUGAUAGCCCCGUACACGAAGCUGCUUUUGUCACAUAUCAAGUAGGACGGGACACGUGAUAUCUUGUCUGAAGAUGGGGGGACCAUCCUCCAAGGCUAAAUACUC
rnacentral:rRNA from 1 species